CCUACGGGUGGCAGCAGUGAGGAAUAUUGGUCAAUGGGCGCGAGCUUGAACCAGCCAAGUAGCGUGAAGGAUGACUGCCCUACGGGUUGUAAACUUCUUUUAUAAAGGAAUAAAGUGAGGCACGUGUGCCUUUUUGUAUGUACUUUAUGAAUAAGGAUCGGCUAACUCCGUGCCAGCAGCCGCGGUAAUACGGAGGAUCCGAGCUUUAUCCGGAUGUAUUGGGUUUAAAGGGAGCGUAGAUGGGUUGUUAAGUCAGUUGUGAAAGUUUGCGUGUCAAUCGGUGAAUUGCAGUUGAUACUGGAAGCCUUGAGUACAGUUGAGGUAGGCGGAAUGCGUGGUGUAGCGGUGAAAUGCAUAGAUAUCACGAAGAACUCCGAUUGCGAAGGCAGCCUACUGGACUGCCACUGACGUUGAUGCUCGAAAGCGUGGGUAGCAAACAGGAUUAGAUACCCUAGUAGUC
rnacentral:rRNA from 1 species